UACGUAGGGGGCUAGCGUUGUCCGGAUUUAUUGGGCGUAAAGAGCGUGUAGGCGGCCAUGUAGGUCUGGUGUGAAAACUCGAGGCUUAACCUCGAGAUGUCAUCGGAAACCAUUUGGCUAGAGUCCGGAAGAGGAGAGUGGAAUUCCUGGUGUAGCGGUGAAAUGCGCAGAUAUCGGGAGGAACCCCAGUGGCGAAGGCGACUACCUGGGCUGUUUCUUGACGCUGAGGCGCGAAAGCUAGGGGAGCAAACGGG
rnacentral:rRNA from 1 species